UAAAAUUUUGCGGAGCAUGUCAAACACAAACGUCAUCUAACCGAAAAGUGCUUGUAGGUAAACCGUUUAAUCAUUCAGAAUGAAUAUCAUAGUAAAUUAAUUUCAUAUGCAUUAAACAUUUUCUUUUAUAAUAUUUGUUUAAUUUUAUAUCAAUUUACCCGUUCUCUCGGUUUUUCCUAUUUAUAAGUGUACAUGCGUUAAUCAAGACUUGGAGACAACAAAAUGAUUGUAGCUCACUUUUUACCUAAUCAAAUUUAUUUUAAUACUAAAAUAAUACUAUUAACAAAAGUAAUUUUAUUACUUAUUACUAAUAGUANUAACAUUUACUACCUCCUAAUUAUAGUCAUAUCAAAAUAACAAAUCGUACAAGUAGUAAUUGGCACAUAAUAGGUAUGUAGGCAUCUAUAUUAUAUUAUUCACGACUAAUAUCAUACGUAAAUAUUUUAUAAAACUAUGGUAUGCAAUUAUAUCAAUAAAUAUAAAUAAAUCAUCAUUUAUCUUUUAUAGUAAACAAAAAAGGGUAAAUUUCCGUAAUUUUAGUAAUUUUCGAAUUAUAAUACCCACGAAAAACCAAACUGAUUUUGUCUAAUUAAAAUCAACUUUUGUUGAAUAGGUGAUUUACAAAUUUGGCGACCUCUAGCAAGAACAUUUGGAUAAUCAGUCGACUACUGCCAUAACGUAACGUUUAGAAAAUUUUACUGUUAUCAAGAAUCAUACAUAUUUCCGACAAAUUGAUUUAUAAAACCAAAACUUUCAACUGAAAUAUUUAAGAUAAGGGCAAAAAACUUAACUUUGUGUCUUCUUUAAAUAUCGUAUCAUUUGCGUAUCUAUAUCUGAUUAAUUGAAAACAUGCCAUUAAAAUUUACCGCUGGUUAUGUUAUUAUCUAUUCUUUUAUGUUAGUGUUAGUACACGGUGACGGUGGAGGUACUCCUAAUGACCUACCUAUCGCUAAUAACCCUAACCCGCCACCUGAUAAUGCACCCCCAGCUGAUUGCCCCCCACCUUGUAAGAGAGACUUUCUUUGGAUCCAAAAUGUGUGUAAAAGAGGUGUACGUGAAUAUAGUCCCACUGUAUAUAAUUGUUUUUGUUGUAAGUGACGAUUUCAAUUAUUAAAGGCCCAAUUGCCAUUUAUUAUGCAAAUUCAAUAAUAAUGUUAAGUAUUCCAAAAGAUCUUUCCAUAAUUUAUUCUUAUAAAGAAGCACACUCACAAAUUGAGGCACUGCAAACAAUUAAAUUAAUUUACACCUACUCACUACAAAAUAAAUUGGGAUGACAUAAAGUGCAUAUAUCCUAAUAAUUAUAUAGUAUAAUAACUUUGCUGUGUUAACUAUAUAAUAACGUUAUUUUUGCAUAUUUAAAAAAUAAAACAUUAAAUGUCAACUUUUGUCCGUACAGUAUUUUUGUAAUACAUUUAUCAUAAGUGAUAAAAUAAAAUAGUUUUUAAAUACAGUUUAUUUGUUGUAUUGAUUUCAUGAGACAUUACUUACACAUCAUAUUACCUAUGAAGUUCCUGCGGACCGUAGUUAUUGCUUUGUGAUAUUGAAAACCACAACUCCAAUAUUAAGACAAAACAAUUACUUUCAUUGCAUUUUUUUAAAAUAAAAUACGUUCUUUAUAUUUAACAUAAUACGAGUCGUAGGGAAAUUAAUUUAAAUUAAAAAAAACUUAUUUUAAACGGUAAUUCUUUUAGAAAUGUUUACGUAAAGAACAAAAUAUGUUCCUUAAUAUAGUGUAAUUCUUAAACAAAUCAUUGUUGUGAAAUCAUUAUAUUCGACUGAACAUGACUUAGACUUCGAUUGUUCGUCAGCGAUGGUAACCAUCAAUU
rnacentral:lncRNA from 1 species